AUUGAACGCUGGCGGCAGGCCUAACACAUGCAAGUCGAACGGUAACAGGAAGCAGCUUGCUGCUUCGCUGACGAGUGGCGGACGGGUGAGUAAUGUCUGGGAAACUGCCUGAUGGAGGGGGAUAACUACUGGAAACGGUAGCUAAUACCGCAUAACGUCGCAAGACCAAAGAGGGGGACCUUCGGGCCUCUUGCCAUCGGAUGUGCCCAGAUGGGAUUAGCUAGUAGGUGGGGUAACGGCUCACCUAGGCGACGAUCCCUAGCUGGUCUGAGAGGAUGACCAGCCACACUGGAACUGAGACACGGUCCAGACUCCUACGGGAGGCAGCAGAGGGGAAUAUUGCACAAUGGGCGCAAGCCUGAUGCAGCCAUGCCGCGUGUAUGAAGAAGGCCUUCGGGUUGUAAAGUACUUUCAGCGGGGAGGAAGGCGAUAAGGUUAAUAACCUUGUCGAUUGACGUUACCCGCAGAAGAAGCACCGGCUAACUCCGUGCCAGCAGCCGCAGUAA
rnacentral:rRNA from 1 species